rnacentral:rRNA from 1 species
AGUGAACGCUGGCGGUAGGCCUAACACAUGCAAGUCGAACGGCAGCACAGUAAGAGCUUGCUCUUACGGGUGGCGAGUGGCGGACGGGUGAGGAAUACAUCGGAAUCUACUUUUUCGUGGGGGAUAACGUAGGGAAACUUACGCUAAUACCGCAUACGACCUGCGGGUGAAAGCAGGGGAUCUUCGGACCUUACGCGAUUGAAUGAGCCGAUGUCGGAUUAGCUAGUUGGCGGGGUAAAGGCCCACCAAGGCGACGAUCCGUAGCUGGUCUGAGAGGAUGAUCAGCCACACUGGAACUGAGACACGGUCCAGACUCCUACGGGAGGCAGCAGUGGGGAAUAUUGGACAAUGGGCGCAAGCCUGAUCCAGCCAUACCGCGUGGGUGAAGAAGGCCUUCGGGUUGUAAAGCCCUUUUGUUGGGAAAGAAAAGCAGCAGGUUAAUACCCCGCUGUUCUGACGGUACCCAAAGAAUAAGCACCGGCUAACUUCGUG